ACACGGAGGGUGCAAGCGUUGUUCGGAAUUACUGGGCGUAAAGGGCGCGUAGGCGGGCGGGAAAGUCUGGUGUGAAAGCCCGGGGCUCAACCCCGGAAGUGCACUGGAAACUUCUCGUCUUGAGUCCGGAAGAGGAGGGCAGAAUUCCCGGUGUAGGGGUGAAAUCCGUAGAUAUCGGGAGGAAACCAGUGGCGAAGGCGGCCCUCUGGGACGAGACUGACGCUGAGGCGCGAAAGCGUGGGGAGCAAACAGGAUUAGAAACCCCAGUAGUCC
rnacentral:rRNA from 1 species